UUCAGUGGGUAAGAUACACUUUAAAAACAGCACCAAUUUAUACAGUUCUACAACAUUGAUUCGUAAAAAAUGAAGAUAUUAAAACAGAUUAUGAUAGGGACUUGUAGUGCUAUUUUUCUGAUGGUCAUUAUUGGAUUUGUAACACCAGGAUGGCUGAUCCUUUACGUUGAUGUGCCUAAAAAUGCAGGAGCGGGUAAUGAAGAGCCAACCUGUCUGGAUUCAGAACCAGUAUAAGGAAAGAUUAGCCCUUAUGAAAAAGGAUCCAAACAUACCUGAUAUACAAGCGUAACAUUUGGACCAUUUUAUAUGCGAUACUGCAUGACGAUGAAGAUUAGAACGAUUUCAACUGAUAUAUGUGUUUUGUUGUCAUCAGGCAAUGCCAUAGAUUUGGUGGAAACUACAAUGCGAAAUAAUUCAGCUAUGCAAAUGGUGGAGGAACAGCACAAAAAUGGAAUCAAUAUAUCGAUAAAAUCAAUGAUUAAUAUUUGUAUAGCCAUAAUUGUUGUUUGCUCACUAACUUUGAUACAGUCGUUUGUCUCCUUGGGUUUAACCUUAGUGUACAGCUGUAAACGUUAUCCACGAAAAAGACUUGGAGUUGUUGGUAGUAUCUCCUUAAUUCUUUCAGGUAAGCGAGAUGGUUUUCACAAUAACUUAAGUUGUAAACAUUUUACUCAACAAAAAACAAAAUCACCGAUUUUGAGUACUUUGAUUAUGCACGUUUCACAAAUAAAUUAGAAGGGGUCCAAAACAGGUUUUUUCUACUUUUAAUUUGUAAGACUUUCAUUUAUUUUAUGACCAGAUUUAGUUGUAGUUUUCUUUGUAUUCAAUAUAUGAAUUACUAUCAAACUUAUCAAUA